rnacentral:rRNA from 1 species
GUGGGGAAUAUUGGACAAUGGGCGAAAGCCUGAUCCAGCAAUGCCGCGUGUGUGAAGAAGGUCUUCGGAUUGUAAAGCACUUUCGACGGGGACGAUGAUGACGGUACCCGUAGAAGAAGCCCCGGCUAACUUCGCGCCAG